GAUGAACGCUAGCGGCAGGCCUAACACAUGCAAGUCGAGGGAGAAGCCUUCGGGCUGAAACCGGCGCACGGGUGCGUAACGCGUAUACAAUCUGCCUUUCACAUAGGGAUAGCCCGAAGAAAUUUGGAUUAAUACCUAAUGGUAUAUAAGAGCGGCAUCGUUUUUAUAUUAAAGCUACGGUGGUGAAAGAUGAGUAUGCGUUCUAUUAGCUAGUUGGAGAGGUAACGGCUCCCCAAGGCGACGAUAGAUAGGGGUUCUGAGAGGGAUGUCCCCCACACUGGUACUGAGAUACGGACCAGACUCCUACGGGAGGCAGCAGUGAGGAAUAUUGGACAAUGGUCGGAAGACUGAUCCAGCCAUGCCGCGUGCAGGAUGAAGGUCCUAUGGAUUGUAAACUGCUUUUGUAAGGGAAGAAUAAGGGGUACGUGUACUUUGAU
rnacentral:rRNA from 1 species